rnacentral:lncRNA from 10 species
CUCUGAUGCCUGAAUUCUAAAAGGUGUUCCAGAAACAGAGCUCACAGACUCUAACCCUUGACCAUCAGAGUUCUCCCUGUAGCCCCUUUCAGGACCCUGCACUGGACGGAUCACCUGACACUGGGAACACCCAGACCGUGGUAAUCUGGCUCAACCAGUUCUGCCAUCCCACCCUGGAAUAGAAGACAGCAGCAAACCUCACUUCGACCCCCUAUGAUUCCAUCUCCACCCUGACAAAUCAGCACGCCCCACUUCCAAGCCCCUACCGUGAUUUGAGUACUAAUAAAACUCCCAUCUCCCAC